rnacentral:rRNA from 1 species
AUUGAACGCUGGCGGCAUGCCUUACACAUGCAAGUCGAACGGCAGCACGGGUGCUUGCACCUGGUGGCGAGUGGCGAACGGGUGAGUAAUACAUCGGAACGUACCUUAUCGUGGGGGAUAACGCAGCGAAAGCUGUGCUAAUACCGCAUACGCCCUGAGGGGGAAAGCGGGGGAUCGAAAGGCCUCGCGCGAUUAGAGCGGCCGAUGCCUGAUUAGCUUGUUGGUGGGGUAAAAGCCCACCAAGGCGACGAUCAGUAGCUGGUCUGAGAGGACGGUCAGCCACACGGGGACUGAGACGCGGCCCAGACUCCUACGGGAGGCAGCAGUGGGGAAUUUUGGACAAUGGGGGCAACCCUGAUCCAGCAAUGCCGCGUGAGUGAAGAAGGCCUUCGGGUUGUAAAGCUCUUUUGUCAGGGAAGAAACACCGGCUCUAACACAGUCCGGGAAUGACGGUACCUGAAGAAUAAGCACCGGCUAACUACGUGCCAGCCGCCGCCGUAA